GCGUAAGAACCUACCAAAAAUUCAUGGGAAUCAAUGAAUAUUGAAAGAUUUGAGUAUCGUUUUUGAUGGGCUUGUCGUAAGAUUAGAUAGUUGGUGUGGUAAAAGCAUACCAAGUCAAUGAUCUUUUACCUGGUCUUAGCGGAUGGCCAGUCACACUGGGACGUGAGAUUACGGCCCAGACUCUAUUUGGAGGCAGCAGUGAGGAAUCUUGGACACUGAGCGCGAAACCUUGAUCCAGCUAAUUUCGCGUGGGUGAUGAAGGUUAUAUUGAUCGUAAAACCCUUUCAUGAAGAUGUCAAG
rnacentral:rRNA from 1 species